UACAGGGGGGGCAAGCGUUGUUCGGAAUUACUGGGCGUAAAGGGCCAGUAGGCGGCCAACUAAGUCAGACGUGAAAUCCCUCGGCUUAACCGGGGAACUGCGUCUGAUACUGGAUGGCUUGAGUUCGGGAGAGGGAUGCGGAAUUCCAGGUGUAGCGGUGAAAUGCGUAGAUAUCAGGAAGAACACCCGUGGCUAAGGCGGCUCUCUAGUACGGUACUGACGCUGAGACGCGAAAGCGUGGGGAGCGAGCAGG
rnacentral:rRNA from 1 species